rnacentral:tRNA from 1 species
UCCCUGGUGGCUCAGAUGGUAAAGAGUCUGCCUGCAAAGCAGGAGGCCCAGAUUUGAUUCCUGGGUCGGGAA